rnacentral:tRNA from 1 species
GUAGCUGUAGCUCAGUGGUAGAGUGCCUGCCUAGCAUGCUGGGGCACUGUGUUAGAUCCUCAGCACCACA